rnacentral:rRNA from 1 species
GAUGAACGCUGGCGGCGUGCCUAAUACAUGCAAGUCGAGCGAACAGACGAGGAGCUUGCUCCUCUGACGUUAGCGGCGGACGGGUGAGUAACACGUGGAUAACCUACCUCUAAGACUGGGAUACCUUCGGGAAACCGGAGCUAAUACCGGAUAAUAUAUUGAACCGCAUGGUUCAAUAGUGAAAGACGGUUUUGCUGUCACUUAUAGAUGGAUUCGCGCCGCAUUAGCUAGUUGGUAAGGUAACGGCUUACCAAGGCAACGAUGCGUAGCCGACCUGAGAGGGUGAUCGGCCACACUGGAACUGAGACACGGUCCAGACUCCUACGGGAGGCAGCAGUAGGGAAUCUUCCGCAAUGGGCGAAAGCCUGACGGAGCAACGCCGCGUGAGUGAUGAAGGUCUUCGGAUCGGAAAACUCUGUUAUUAGGGAAGAACAAAUGUGUAAGUAACUAUGCACGUCUUGACGGUACCUAAUCAGAAAGCCACGGCUAACUACGUG